GCUUUUGUAGCUUAUUA
rnacentral:tRNA from 1 species